GUAAAAGGAGUGGUGGUUGAAAGGAGAAAAGAAAAAAGAAGAUGAAAAGAAAAAAAAAAAGAAAAGAGGAAAAAGAGUUUAAUAGCUUUUGGAACUUUUUUUUUAUUUUUUUUUUGGAUUUGGAAUUUUUUUUUUUUCAACUUUCGUAAAGACUUGCUAAUCUCCUUUUGCUAAGAAUUGAAAAAAUGGGAAAAUGGAAAUUGUUUUGAUUCUUCUCUUUGUGUUGGCAUCGCGGUGCAUUGGAAAGAAAGAUAGAAUUUUACUAUUUUAUUUUUGUUUGCUUUGUAACGGUCUUUGAUUGUCCAGAAGAAUGAAAAGAAGGUCCGUCAAGUUUUUUCAUACUUUUCUUUUUCUUAUUAAAAAUUACAUUUUUUAGAAAAAAGGUUGAACGAGAAGAAGGGGAAAAAAGAAGUGGAAAAGGAGACUUUCUCUUUGGAAACUUUUUUUUUUGUUUCAUUUUUUUUGUAAAAUCGGUUUUCUAAAAUUUGUAAUUUCCCCCAAACCCGGUACC
rnacentral:misc_RNA from 1 species